UACGUAGGGUGCAAGCGUUGUCCGGAAUUAUUGGGCGUAAAGAGCUCGUAGGCGGCUUGUCGCGUCGUUCGUGAAAACCCGGGGCUCAACUCCGGGCUUGCGGGCGAUACGGGCAGGCUAGAGUUCGGUAGGGGAGUGUGGAAUUCCUGGUGGAGCGGUGAAAUGCGCAGAUAUCAGGAGGAACACCCGUAGCGAAGGCGGCACUCUGGGCCGAUACUGACACUGAGGAGCGAAAGCGUGGGGAGCGAACAGG
rnacentral:rRNA from 1 species